rnacentral:rRNA from 1 species
AUGGUUGUCGUCAGCUCGUGUCGUGAGAUGUGGGUUAAGUCCCGCAACCGAGCCGCAACCCUCGACCUUAGUUGCCAGCAUUCAGUUGGGCACUCUAAGGUGACUGCCGGCUAAAAGGUCGGAGGAAGGUGGGGAAUGACGUCAAACCAUCAUGCCCCUUAUGACCUGGGCUACACACGUGCUACAAUGGGCGGUACAAAGGGUCGCGAACCCGCGAGGGGGAGCCAAUCCCAAAAAAGCCGCUCUCAGUUCGGAUUGCAGGCUGCAACUCGCCUGCAUGAAGCCGGAAUCGCUAGUAAUCGCGGAUCAGCAUGCCCGCGGUCCGAAUACGUUCCGGGCCUU